GGGACGCGCACGCAGGGCGGCGUGUUGCGUGAACGCGCGCGACUCCUCUUCCUCCGGCCCGUCACCCCGCCCCCUUCACCCCUACCUCUACCGCCGCUGCCGCUCCCGCGCCCUCUGCCGCCGCCCAGGUCUCACGGAGGAGCGGUCACCGACUGUGGAGACGGUGCGGUCCAGGCCCAGCACCGGGUGCGGAGCCGGAGGCACACACGGACUAGCCGAGCCGAGCCGGCCGGCCAGCUGUAGCCGGGGCAGAUUAGCAUAAAAUGGCAGACCAGAGACAGCGUUCACUUUCUACCUCUGGAGAAUCAUUGUACCAUGUUCUUGGGUUGGACAAGAAUGCAACCUCAGAUGAUAUAAAAAAAUCAUAUAGGAAGCUUGCAUUGAAAUAUCAUCCUGACAAAAAUCCAGAUAACCCAGAAGCUGCAGACAAAUUUAAAGAGAUCAACAACGCACAUGCAAUAUUGACUGAUGCCACAAAACGAAACAUAUAUGACAAGUAUGGUUCUUUGGGCCUUUAUGUAGCUGAGCAGUUUGGGGAAGAGAACGUGAAUACCUAUUUUGUGCUAUCCAGCUGGUGGGCAAAGGCCCUGUUUUUAUUUUGUGGGAUCAUUACUGGCUGCUACUGUUGCUGCUGUCUGUGCUGCUGCUUUAACUGCUGCUGUGGAAAGUGUAAACCUAAACCUCCUGAAGGUGAUGACCAAGAAUACUAUGUCUCCCCAGAGGACUUGGAGGCACAGUUACAGUCUGAUGAGAGGGGAGGGCAUUGAUACUGUGCUUGGAGUGUUUUUGGUGGAAGCUGGGACGUUUGAGGUGUGAACAUGGAAAUUUGAGAGGCUACAGACACACCUAUUGUGAUACAACCAGCAUCAGCCACAGAGACCACCCAGCUCACAACUGACUCCCACCCCAGCUACCAUACUGAUGGAUUUAACUAAGUUAAGAAAACACUGUAAUUAGAAUGGAUAAAUCAGUACCUGGCCAAUCAACAUUAGAAUCAUGAACAGUAGAAAUAGAGAUCGGGGAGGGAACAGCUCCUGCCACAGGGAAAGGGCAGACACUGACCUGCCAAGAAUAUUUUGUAAUCCCUUCCGCCUUUUCUGUCACCUUCAGUGUCGUAUCUUGAUGAUACAUGAAGUGCUGUAGCAUGCAGUAUUUAAAGCAGUUUAGCUACGGUCUUCCUUUAUCCUUUUUUUUUUUUUAAUCGCAUGUAUGGGGUUAUGUUUUAUGUAUGUCUGUGUUGUAAAUGUAUCGAGGAGUUACUGAAUUAAGUGAAUAAUGGAAGCAAUCUGCAUUUUAAGCAGUGGUACCAGCCUAAAUAUAUUUUUCAACCUACGAGUUUAAGUGAGAAUUGCUCUGAAGCCACUUUUGCUUCCAUACAAUUUAGUUGUGAGGACCUUUAAAAAAUAGGAAGGGGAAUUCAUCGUUCUCAACCAAGAGUACUUGUUCACAUUCCCUGUGCCCAUGUUAAAGCCAAUGUAUGACUUAGCUCAAAAUGGAGGAUGUUUCCAGAUAGGAAUUUUAUCCUUCCUUAUCAGUUUUUGACCUUUGUAUACUGGCCUACUCUUUGACACUUCCUUUUGUUCAUGAGCUCCAGAAAUGAUGAAUAGCUCCUUGCCCGGAGUCAGAAUACCUGUGUUUUGGUCCCAACUCCUCUAAUCUUAUAAAUGACCUUGGGCAAGUCACUAAACUUCUCUGAGCCCUGGUUUGCUUAUCAGUCAAACAAGGGGGUUAGAUUACAUGACCUUUGGGGUCCCUUCCAGGUUCUGUAAUUAUGAAAGAAUUUGGAAAUAUGAAAAUGACUCUUCAGAA